GACGAACGCUGGCGGCGUGCUUAACACAUGCAAGUCGAACGGAAAGGCCCUGCUUUUGUGGGGUGCUCGAGUGGCGAACGGGUGAGUAACACGUGAGUAACCUGCCCUCGACUUUGGGAUAACUUCAGGAAACUGGGGCUAAUACCGGAUAGGAGCUCCUGCUGCAUGGUGGGGGUUAGAAAGUUUCGGCGGUUGGGGAUGGACUCGCGGCUUAUCAGCUUGUUGGUGGGGUAGUGGCUUACCAAGGCUUUGCCGGGUAGCCGGCCUGAGAGGGUGACCGGCCACAUUGGGACUGAGAUACGGCCCAGACUCCUACGGGAGGCAGCAGUGGGGAAUAUUGCACUAUGGGCGGAAGCCUGAUGCAGCAACGCCGCGUGCGGGAUGACGGCCUUCGGGUUGUAAACCGCUUUCGCCUGUGACGAAGCGUGAGUGACGGUAAUGGGUAAAGAAGCACCGGCUAACUACGUG
rnacentral:rRNA from 1 species